GCUCCUGUAGUACAAUGGAUAGUGCGUUGGACUUUUAAUCCAAAGGUCGUGGGUAUGGAUCCCACCUGGGGAU